GUGUGCUGGUGGUGUGUUGCCACAGGUUUGUGUAUGCGCCUAGUGCAGUUGGGAGUCAUAGACUCUUAAACUGCCGCUGGAUAGCUUAUAUUCAUAGGUGAAAAGAAAGCCGAGUGCGUAAGUCUUUCCUGCCAGUACAUAGCCUCUACACUAACAAGACUUCUACAGUGCCUCCCCGCGACAGCACACGGUAACUAGGACCUUGUGUCCUAGGCCUUACUGUAGAGGAUCUCGGAGUAGCAAGGACCCUAGAGAUGAAGUGUGUAGGCCCACCGGCGUGUGGAUACGCCCUAGCACUCAUCAACCUUGCCCCAGUUAUGGGUUAAUAGCCGGCUAGAUGAAAGUCGUCAGCCUUGAAAGGCAAUUCAUAUAGGAGAAGAAAACUCUGAUAUAAAAUACCGGGUAGAUUUGACUCGUCAGCCUUGGUCGGCAAUGGAUCUAUAGGAAAGAAACCUUGAGUAAAGAUUCUCUGGUUCUCCAGGUUGGGGAUUGAGCGUUAGGCCAACAACCUAUCCUUGUAAAAAA
rnacentral:lncRNA from 1 species